UGUUUCAAUGUUAACUAAAUUUAUUUUAUUUUUAUUAUGCGUAACUAUUACUUUUUUAUUUAUCUUCUUACUGACUUAUGCUUUUUUAGCAUUGAAUAUGAGUUUGCAUUAAAUGAUUAAUAUCUUAUUUGUCGAUGGAGUAUCUUGGAGAUCUCCCAAUACAUGUUCUUAGUGAAGCUUGAAGUUGUUUCCAAAAAAUAAACUAAAUUGGUAAACAUUUCUGAUAUAUUUGCAUGUCAUAAGUACUUCUUGUUUUUAUUUUCAAAAAUAUUUCAGAUUUGUUUUAACUUUCUGAUAAUGGAAAUAGUCUUUUUUUUUUACUCUUGCUGUAGCAGCAUGAAAUAUAUAUUGAGGAUAAAUACAUAUUGUAUCAUAUUCAGAUCUUUCUCUCUUAAUGGAGACUUAGAAUGCAAGCCUAUAGUACAAAAAAUUAUGUGGCAAAUACCUACAUGCUCUUCUUUAUCAACUGAACUUAUUUGUAAUAUCGUCACAUUAUAAAUGGUAUUUUCUACUUAAUCCAACCAAACCCACCUUCAAGACUCUUUACCCCUACGUUUAGUGAAAUAUUAUAUGGAGGCUUUCUAUACUUCACCUGUUUGAGGCAAUUCAUAGGUUAAGAUGAGUCACAAAUUUUUUUCUUAAAAAGCUCUCUCAUGAUUUGUUAGCAGUGUAUGCAGCUUUUGCAGUAUUUGUCUUGUCAAACACUUAAGAUUCCUUUUUAGUCUCUUUACGAACUUAGCAACAAAUUCUGUUAUAGGACUUUUUGAAGAGUUGCUUAUGUUAUUCUCCAUCAUUUCCCACAUCUACAUUUCGUAAUAGAUUGGUCUCAUGAAUACCAUCACUGCUAUUCUUUAGGUCCGGAUGGUCCCAAUGUACAGCAAAUAGCUUAUUUUGAAGUCUUCACCUAAAAAGUACGAGAAGCCACAAUUUAGGAUGCUCCAAUGAGAGGUAAAGAGAUGGGGCUGAAGUAAGGCAGUGACUGGUAAAACUCUUUUUUGCCUCACGGCUUCAGAUAAAAUCUUCGCUCCCAUUUCUUUUCUUUUUGUCACAAAAUCAUGUGAUGGUUGAAAAUAAGCAGUUUAGUUAAAAUAAGAAGCAAUUAAAAUUAUUCAUGACACUGCUAACCCAAAAAACAGCUCUACCUUUUCAAAUUUCGGGAUGCUACUUGCAUAGACCUUGCUGUAAGUAUAUAAAAUGUUUGGUGAAGGCUUGGGCUAUUUGCAGUGUGGAGACCAGUGGAAUUUCUAAAUUCCUCAUGUAUGCUGCUCAUUGAUAUUUAUAUCCAGCUUGCAUAUGGCCGAUUAGAGUAGAAAUAUUUGUUAACAUUAAGAUGCCAUUAACUUUGCAAAUCCUAUGCAUAUAUUUUUUUUUAUCUCCAACACUUCUGGAAAGUGUACAUGGACGCGUAGUGUGUAUUUGGAGAGAUUUUUGUAUUCAAUAUUCUCCUAGGAAUGUUGAUGUUAGUUGUCUAUGCAUUCAUGAGGGAAAUGGAGCACUAAGAUGGCAUUACUUUUGACUUCGGACUUGGUGCAAAUUCCCAAUUCUAGCCACUAGGAUUGAGGUGUGGAGAAUUUUGUCAUAACCGAUGGGACCCACAUAAGUUGUCCUCUCCAUAAGCGAGCUCUAAACUUGAGGAUGUGAGCAGUUGAAGAGUUACGAGUCAAAGAUGCCUUGCAGUUACAUAUGAUAUUUGAAGAUGCACUGAUUUUGCCUAUGUGAAGCCAUUGAUUGUGUUUUCUAUUCUCAGAAGAUCCUCUCUAAGGUACACAGGUGCUGCUGGAAUGCUAUUAGAGUUGAUGGAAGUGUGUUGAUAUUAUAUCAUGCUUAUUGAAGAUUAAUGCAUAUUUGUCCUCUUUCUCUGGUGGAGUUUUUUCCCGAAAGGGUUUCUUCAUAUUUGCAUACACUUGGAAAAAAAAUUAUUGCAGUAGUUUCACCUUGUCUAUCAACAAUAUUUCUGUCAAAGGUCAUAAACACUAUCAUAACCUCUCUCAAUACAAGUCAACAUUUUACAAUUAUAGACAGUCUGAGUGUUUUAAUGGAACAAUCAAUUAUAUGUUUGCUGUGUAUGUGAACCUUUAUCAUUCUUUUCAUCCAAGUAUAAACAGAGUGUUUUAAUAGAACAAUCAAUUAUAUAUUUGCUGUGUAUGUGAAUCUUUAUCAUUCACUAGGAGCAGUUUUUCCUUUAUGUAUUUUUUCUUUUGGUUGUUAUUCAGUGCAUGCAUUGACCCUUAUUUCACUUGUUUUUUAUUUGUAUUAUUGGUCCUUAUAAAUUUAAUCUUCCAGCACCACAAACUUUCCAAAUCUCAGAACAAAUCUGCAUGAUUAUCUUGCAUUAACAUUGCCCAUAUUAUGCCUUUCUUUUUAUUUAUCUUUUGAUAUCUAACAGUGGUCCAUUAUGAUUUAAAAGUUAAAAUGGCACUAUGAUCUUAUACAUCCACACAAAAAAAUUCCACAAAGAAGUUUAGUUUAGACAAAAUAUGGCCUUAUGAAAUAGCUUGCUUCAAGACUAAUACCAUGCAUAAAUGUUUACCUUUCACAAUGAUGAUCACAGCCUUGCAUCAUGGUAUUUGAUAAUGGCACGUCAUUGUUGGUGUAUAUGAAUUGGUCUUUUAUGCUUAUUAUAUCCUGUGCAAUUGAUUGUAAUUCUGAAACUGUUUUUUGAAUUUUAAAAUAUGACUAGGUGAGAGCUUCAAUCAACUCUCCAUCAUUGGAGAUACCUUUGUUUGACUAUCUUGUCAUAAUUUGACUAUAAUCACUUGGAUUGUAUCUCCAGUUAAAGUGUAAGCUUGUUAUCCUCGAUUGUAGUUGACUCAAGCCGUGGGAUAACCCCUACGAAACUUGUCUGUUUUGUAGCCCAUGUGCUCUAAGCACAUUAAUCAAGGCAAUUUUCAAUUGCUCUCGUGCGUCCCUUAUUUGUCGUGAAAUUGUCUAAAAUGGGUCCCUUAGUUUGUCUUUUUGAAUUUGGUAAAAAUCCUUUCUUUGGAGUUAGUCAUUUUUCUUCCAAGUGCAGUGUCGGGGAUUUUUAGCGCUAUUGCACUUGCUUUUUGGCUUGUAGUGUAAUGCUGGAGUUUUUCUCUACUAUUACAUAUCUUGGCACCUGCUCCAUGUAGUUCGGGUUUUAAAACCUGAACUACAUUUCUUCAUACCUCUAUGAUGCAUUUCGGGUUUUAAAACCUGAAAUGCAUACCUCCCCUCACACUGUCAUGCAUUUCGAGUUUUAAAACCCCUGAUUCGCACGUGUGAUAAUAAUGGCAACUUAAGUGCUGUAUUUCAAUUGCUUAGAAACUUGUUUUUACCUCAGUUUUCGUCGUUCUUUUUGUCUGAUCGAGUUUUUGGCGACUCUAUGACAUUCUUGUUCUUCUCGUGGCAAGGCUAAAGUGGAUUUCUUUGCCCUUUUCGUGUUUCUUUCAAGUAAUCUUUGUUAUUUUCUUCCGCUUUUCUUCCGUUUCUAUAGGGUUUUCACUUGUUUGAUAUAGUUUUCCAUUGUUUGUUUUUCAUUUUUUGUUUUUCCUUUCUUUUAUGUCACACUUUUUCUCCUUUCUUGUACGCAUUUCUCAUAGAAGAGAAAUUUCCUUUACACCACAUUACCUAAAUCAAUUGUGGUUCGGGUUACAAAACUUGAGCUACACCGCAUUACCUUAACCAUGGUGUAGUUUCGGUUUCGCAACCUGAACGACACGGUAUCACAGCACUACCCUACCCUAGAUGUUGGUUAGGAUCUAAUCCCCUACCAACACUACAUAACCAUAAUAUUUAAACUACAUUAUAAGACCCAUGUUGGCUGGGGUUUAAAACCCGACCAACAUUCCAUUAAGAUUGACCCAUAUGUUGGUCAGGUUUUAAACCCCAACCAACACUCCAACACAACCAUCUCUACAGUCAAUGUAGAUUGGGGUUUAAAAAGCGAUCUAUACUGAACACAUUACUUUUAAUGUAGAUCGGGUUUUAAACUCCGACCUACAUUUAAUACGAAACGCAUCCAUAGAUGUAGUUCGGGUAUUAUUUUCCGAACUACAUCCCUUCACAUUUCACGUGUAGUUUGGAAAUUAAAACCCGAUCAACAUGAACACUUCCCCUUUGUAUAGUUUGGAGUUUUUUCUUUGAUCUGGAAGUUGUGACAAACCCCAAUCUAGAAUCGGAGAAUUUUUCUGUCUAUACACUAACGAAGGAUUUUUUCAUGCAAAUCGAGAAAUUUUCUUCAACUGACACCAACACUCAAAUAUGCAGAAGUGUUAAAUUUUUCCUCAAAUGCACAGAUACUGCAAAUUUUUCUGACACUGGGGAAGUGAUCACUUCAGUGUUGCAGCUCCCUCCGAGAUGUCAAAGCCUUCUCCGAGCAAGAAGACAAUGAAGUAUAAGUAUCGGAAUGUGUUCCCAGAGACCAUGUCAUCCAACAUCAAUGACAUCAGAGACACUGAGAUUGGACAUGUGGAUAUGUCAAAGUUCUUGGACAGAAUAAAUCAGCAACCAGUGUUAUCUAACAUGCACUCUAUUAUGAAUAGCAAUAUUCACCUGGCAUCUUCUUUUCCUAUGUCAACUCAUGAUCUGAAUUUUGUUCUAGCAGUAGCUGCUCAUUUUGACAAAGAGAGCAGAAGUGUGAAAGAUGCAGAUGGGAAGUUACUCAUAAGGUUAGAUGAGGACUUUUUUGAUAAAAUCUUCAAGUGUCCAGAUAUUGUUGACUAUGCUGAUCUUACAGUGGAGUCAGCACAAGGUUGCUAUGACAAGUUCUUUGACAAAUGUAAGAGGAAUAUAAGUGCAAAUUGGGUUCUGACUCCUAGACCAACAAUUACAAGAUGGUUAAAAACUCUCUAUCGAAGUGACUUCAAGGAGGAGGUAAACGAUUUAAUAACCCUUCUCAGUAGGGUUAAAGGCCUUUGUUUACUCCUUACGGGGUAUGUGUUUUAUUAUAGAAAGUAAACUAAACAAUAACAAAAGCAUAAACAACAACAGAUAGAAUGGACAAUGGUAUAUGGUAGAAUAUUAGAUCUUUUGUUGCAAUAUGUAAUGAGUACCACACUAACAUCAUCUCGUUCUCGAUACAAUGCCAGACAUAUAUACCAUUUGGUGGUUGGUUAAGAAGGCCAACCACCGACAACUACCAACUACCCCCUAUGAGAACUAAAACCCAUUACAUUGCCAUUUAUUAAUUAAAGCAUAACAGGUAUUAUUCAGCUAAGUAUGACAUAAUUGCCGUCUACAUCAGCCCCCCCAAAAAGUUGUCUUCCAGACGAUAGAACAAAAUGGUGCUAUACAACUACUGAAAACUACUUAGCAUUGGGAUGGUGAGAGGAUGUCCGUGGAGUAGUUGAGGACGCUGAAAGCUGUUGCUGAAGGCGUUGGACUUGCUCCAUACGGAGUCGCAGAUCGCGCUCAACCACCAGCUGGCGCUCCCUAGCUGUUUUCACCAUGUAAACCGCCUCCAUAACAUCCUUCUCCCUCUGCUCCAACUGUGUCAUGACUGCUGCAAGGUGUUGUUGCAUCUCUGCAAUUUUAGUGUUCUGUCCUGCUACCAAUGCUUUUUGUUUUUCCACUUCGCCCUCUAGAGCUGCUCGUAGUUGUUGUUCGCUCGUAGUAAGUUUCGCCUGAAAUGCGAGUUCCUCCUGAAUAGUAGCGACCUCUCCUACUGCAGUUAUUCUUCCUGUCUCAGCCUUCUUCAUCUGAUAGAAUGUCUCCUUGAAGAAGAUCUCCAUGCCCUAUAAGGUAGACAAAAGUCUGCCCUGACCCUCCUCCGUAGGCACCUAUUGCCAGGUUGCAAGCAUCUCCUCCAUCUCCUGAGCUGGCCAGCCUUGGUGUGUAAAAUGUUCUGCAAAUUCCUCCUUGCAACCGCCCCUCGUGAAGGUGAGGAGUCUCUCAGCCUCCCAUAUCGAACCCACAUCCACCUGUUUGGCCAAGUCUGCAAUCCCAAGAGUGACCUCGGUGAGGUCGUCCAACUCUGCCAAGAACCUCCAGAUGGAUCCAAGUGCAUCCUGAGGGUCGGGCUUUGAAACCCAAAUGCAGUUUUCUCCUUGACUGUCCUCCUUCCUACUAGAGACUCUGUUAUCAUCCCAAUCGUCCCAAACUGUAUGCUCUCUUCUCCAAUGUCAAUGACUAUCUUCCCCUUGUCACCUUCUUCUCUCCUGCUUGGCUCUCUUGCCUGCUCUAGAUGUGAUUCUACUACCAAUUCCUCAUGUCCUCCCUCCGGUUGUAAGUUAUCCUCGAUGUAUGUACCCUUGACUAUACGUGGUGACGAAGGUGGAGGUGCACAAGGUGCUACGACAAAUUUCUCCAUCCAUCCAUCCAACGAAGCAUCAACCUCCUAGGCUGGUCAAGUGGAAGGUACAGUGCUCUCAUGUGCGGAAACUUCGACAAGUAUUAUUCCAACAAUGGUGGGUGUGGUGGUAGUAAGUGCGACCAUUGUAGGUACGAUGAUCAUUGUAGCGACUGGUACGGUGGCGACUAUCACUCUGCCCGUUGGUAUAGUACUAGCUAUUGUUACGUACAUGGUACGGAUAGGACGCUUCUGCCAUACGGAAUCCAUCACCCGUAAUCAAAAGAUUGUGAUGGCAAUGGCUACGAAGUUGUGCCAUACGGAAUCCAUCAUGCGUACUAAAGCCAUUAACCAUACAGAGUCGUGCAGUACUCAAGCUGAGCCAAAGGAAGAAUAUACCGUAUGAUCACAAGGGCAUCCAUCAUCGUAGAUGUUGGAUUGUAUUGAUGGAGUUGUGCUGCCAAAUCAUGAUUGUACUUGGCAGACAAUCAGAAUCACACAAGUCUAGUUUCAAAUUUCCUCUUGCCAUCGGUAGAUACUCCAUGGCCACAUCUCCUAAGGCCAAAGCAAUGGAAACAAAAAUGUAGUGGGUAACAAUGAAGAAAUUUGAAAAGAAGAGAGGACUUCAAUUAUCGAAGCAUGAAAGACAAGCUCAAAAGGAGCUAUACUCAUGUGCAUAGAAUUGCAAACAUAUGGGCAGACUACAAUACAGAAGAAGAUGUGAGAUUGGAUUAUAGUCGGCUCACAUUAGAAAAAAUUGAAAAUCUUGACCUUGCCGAUAUUCCUAAAAACAUGGAGGAUGAGGAAGAUGUCCUUGAUCCUGCAUAUGAAGUAAAGAAGAUUGUUGAUACUCCUCUUCCCCCAAUCCAAUGGUCACAAAAAGAAAUGAUUUCAAUAAGAGCAAGAUUUCAAUCAAUUCUUGCAAGUCCUAAUACUUGGUUAUAGGGGAAGGGGAUAAAAUUGAAGCCUUUCAGUACAAGUUCAAAAGAAGAUACCGCGGGUCUUGCCGGUAAGAAGGUUGAAUUAAGGACAAAGAACAAAGAAGAUCCUUUUGUUACCAAAAAGGCACUUCGGUAUAAAUUCACAAUAGGUAGAGAUAAGAUUGGGUAUAAAGAGGGAACGUUAGAUCGAGAUGAGGAGCAAAAAAAAGAACAUCAAGAGGAAGAAUUACCAGAGCGUCUAGCCACUUCAGAGCAAGAGUCUACACCAGUGGUCGCUCCAGAGGUCUCUACUCCUAUUUCUACCAUAGUACCCCAUCUUGCUACAAGCAAACAAUCUUUUCCUAUUGUUUUUGUUGUAUCAAUUAUGCCUGCUGUAUCAAUCCAAACUAUUCAUUCAUCCACUGCUAAUGAGUCCAUCUUAGAUAUUCCUCGUGAUAAUAUUGAGAAUGUUUUUGGCUCACUUUCUUCAUUUCCUAGUUUGUCUGAGGUUUCUACAACCAUGCUUGAUGCUACCAUGAUCAAUUUUGAUAAGUUUAUGUCUGAAUCCUUGUCAAAUGUAUCAAUUGUGGAAACUCCAUUUGCAAUUAUGACCCAUACUACACGUAUUGUAACUGCUACUGUUCAAGAACAAGCUACAUCAACAUAAGUUGUGGUUACAAGUGCUGAAGGAGAUUCUUUUGCUCUUCCUCCUUGAUUGUAGUUAGUUACGCCCAAAAGAAAGAAACAAGUCAUCUCUCCAGAUGACUUUGAUUUUGAUCAACUUGUUCUAGCAAAGCCAAAAGUUGCAAAGAAGGCCAAAACAAUUUCAAGGGUAAGGGUAGACCAAUCAGGGAAUAAAUACGCAAAAGUGGUCGUGCCUCCUCCAAACAAAACAGUUGAAGAGGUUCAAGUCUCAGACUAUGUGGUAACGAGAAUUGAGAUUGGUAAGCAAACACAUGAAAGUGUCAAGGAUGACUUGCAAGCAUCCAUGGAUUCAUUGGUGGAAAGAUAUGAGAGGGAUAAAAUCAUCAAGGAUCAGCUAAAACUAAAAGUGGAGCAACUCACUGCAGUUUUGUUGAAAAUAAGUUAGUCUUCAAAGAUGAUCAAGCCUGUUGAAACAUCUAUUGAUGAAGAUGCCAUCAAGAAGGCAAAACGGAUUGGAGCUCAAGGAAGAGCCGUGAGUACCCGGAUUGAUAGGUUGAUUUCGCAAGGCACUCACCUUGUGAAAUCCUCUAUUGAGUUGCUGGACAACAUGAGCAAUGUCGAGUCUGAGUUGGAUUAGACUUUGGAUAUUCUAUUUCAGGAGUUACGGUUGCAGGAGGACCUCCAAGCCUGGAUGAGGUUAAAAGAAUUCAAGUUGGAAGUGUUGGUGGAAAAUGGAAUAAUCCCUACCAAGAAGAAAUACAUUGAGCAACAGGAAGCAAUGAAGCACCGAAAGGAGGUUCUAGAAUCACUGAUAAAAGAAUUGCAGGAUGAAUUGGAAAUAAGUAUUGACAAGAGGCUAGACUUCACUAUCAAAGUCUCGAAGCUUCCAUGCAAAUGACUUGAUGAGGACCAGAAGAAGCUUCUUGUUGAUAUAGUUAUUCAAGUGUUCACUUCACUAAUUCAAGCUGAAAUUGAAUCAGAAGAUUUCUCAAUAUCUUCUAUUGACAAAUCGAUGGAUUUUUUAAUUGACUCUGGAUAACUUAGAGACCAUUUUGAAAAGACAUAGAAAGGGUUACACCAACAUAGAAGACGCCAUCACAUAGGUCCUAGCCAUUUCCAGCCAUGCCCUAAGACCUGAUGAUUCCGAGGUGCAAGCUGUUUUACAAAAAUAUGAAGAAUUUUUUAAGAACAUAGAUGAUGAAGAUAUGUCUUCGGACACUUGGUUUAUAUUUCAUGCUUUCUAUUUAUGCUUUUUGUAGUUUGUCAAAGACAUUUUACAUGUAUUUUGUGAAUAUGUAAUUACAUGUAAAAACAGCAUUAGUCCUAAAUCAAAUUGGACUUUGUUGUUGAAUAAGUCUAAUUAGUUGUAGCUUUCAACUUUUUUCUCUCAGCUCUUCUCUAUAUAUAGGAGGGAGCUCUUUUGUAAAUAUUACCUUCUAGCUUAUGCUAGAAAACUCUGCCGAUUUGAAGAGCAUUUCAAAACUUUGUUUUUAAAGUGUAAAUCAAGAUUCAAUCAAUUAAAGAAGCAAGUUGGCAUCCAACUUUGUCUCGGAUUCAGUUUGGGAUGUGGUGAGAUUGUUCUUAUGUCUUUCUUGUCACAUUAUCUUGAAAGUGAUUGAAUUGUGUAGUGUGGGAAAUCAUUUGACUAGAAGGUGAUCUAAAUCUGAUUUUGUAGUCUUUGAGCUACAUUGUUGAAUUUGGAAUUCUUGUUAUGUGUACGAACUGGUAAUAAUUUGGAGACUUUGAGCUGCAUUUUGUUAUCUACAGCUAAGAGAUUGAUUUGUGGUGUAUGUUGAAGACUUUGAGCUACUCAUAUAUCACAACCUUGUUCUUUCAAUUCAUAUAAGGAGUAACAAAAGACUUUGGGCGUGCAUGAACUUCUUGAUUAUUGAAACUAGCUGGUAUCUUUAUGGUUAUUCUUUAGUCUAACUAAGAUUGUAUAUUGGUCAUUAUUGCUCGAACUAGUGUUUUGUGGUUGAUUACACACUAUAGUUAUCAAGGGAUUGUAGUCGUGAAUUAUUGUAAAGGAGAUACAUCUAUUCUGAAAAAAGAGAAUAGGAUGAAUGUAACACCCAAUGAAUAGUUUAGAAUGUACAUAGACUUAGUUAAGUACUAGUUGUUUAAGUAAGCAAUAGGAAGGGAGCCUCCCCUCUCUGAGAGGAGAGAUUUAAUCUCAUAAUACUGUGGCUGCCAUAACCAUUUUGUAAUCAGUUAGUUGAUUACAAAAUAUUCACCCAACAAAGCUCAAUGGGGAGAGAAUCUUAUAUUUUGAGAAGCUAACUCUUGGUUCACAUUCUAGUGAACUUAUGCAUAAAAGGACAUUACGAAAUCUCAUAUAACACGAGAGAUAGAUGAUAGUGUUUGUAAAGUUCUCUUGAGGUUAUUCAGUGGUACAACUUUCAACCAAAUCCUUGUCCAUUUUGAGUUAAUUUCUAGAUGUUUGAAUCCUGUGAAUUUGACAACCAUGUGCAGUCCAUAAUGUUGAAAAGAUUUACAUUUUACAGAAUCUGAUUGUCACCUGAGGACAUAUUUCCAGUGGUUUCUGAAGUUAUGAUUUCAGCAAUAAGUGUAUCAUGAAAUUUACCGUACAUGAAAUACAAAAAAAAUUACCACAACCAUAUAUAUAAUCAAUGGAAGUUAGGGUAAAUACUAAAUAGUUUGUUGAGUACUGUAUUAUCAUGGAUAACUUACAGAUUUGAGUCAAUUCCAAGUCUAGCUAAGAAUUAGAUGUAAGUAGUUACAUCCUUUAUGUUUAAUUUAACUUGGAAGUCUAUCCUUUAUGCAGAAUAGCAAUGUGGCUCUCGAUUAAUAUAUAUAUCAGAUUAAGUUAUCUUUAAAAUAUAAUCUGAGCAAGUUUUUGAAUGUUAAUUUGCAUAUUUUAUUACAGUAAAUACUAAAUAGUCCUCGAAGUGUCAUGAUUUCGUCUUCAAUGAGAAAAUUUGUAAAAGCACUUUCCAUGAAUGAAAUUAGUUCUUAUUGGUAUCGAAACUUAUACAAGUGUCAGUCUUCAUAGUGUACAGUGUACAUAAAGAGAUUCCUUGCAUUGAAUUUCGAUGUCAUAAGUAUUCUUUUGGUCUCAUGUAUGCCUUUACUCUUACUAUGGUUUACAUUGUGUGAUUGGUUUUCUGAAUUUUCCCAUUUCAUAGGAGGCUGAAUGGUGAAUAUUGUUUUUAAUUAGCAUAACAAAUUUUAACAAAAUAAAUCACAGCUUGAUAUUGGAUGCUCAGCAUACUGUGUAACUGAAUACCUAUCUUUUAUAUUUUGUAUGCAUCUAUGAAAAAAAUCUCAUUUUAGAAGAGGACAUGUAUGUUUAAGCAAAAUUCUGUUGUC